CAGCAGCCACGGUAAUACGUAGGUGGCAAGCGUUGUCCGGAAUUAUUGGGCGUAAAGGGCUCGCAGGCGGUUUCUUAAGUCUGAUGUGAAAGCCCCCGGCUCAACCGGGGAGGGUCAUUGGAAACUGGGAAACUUGAGUGCAGAAGAGGAGAGUGGAAUUCCACGUGUAGCGGCGAAAUGCGUAGAGAUGUGGAGGAACACCAGUGGCGAAGGCGACUCUCUGGUCUGUAACUGACGCUGAGGAGCGAAAGCGUGGGGAGCGAACAGGAUUAGAUACCCCGGUAGUCCCUGUCUCUUAUAC
rnacentral:rRNA from 1 species